GGCACCUUAGUGUAGUGGUUAUCACAUCGGAUUUUGAUUCCGAUGACCCGAGUUCGAAUCUCGGAGGAGCCU
rnacentral:tRNA from 1 species